rnacentral:snoRNA from 1 species
GCUAAGGGAUAGCUUCAGAGAAAGGGAAAGAGAGCCAUCAUAAGACCCUAAGUGUCCCAAGCCAGAGCAAACUGUGGCACCAAACCACUGCCUGACCACUGUCCAUAGACUACUGCCACUGAAGCGGGUUACACAGCA